UACGUAGGGGGCGAGCGUUGUCCGGAAUCAUUGGGCGUAAAGCGCGUGUAGGCGGCCCGGUAAGUCCGCUGUGAAAGUCCAGGGCUCAACCCUGGGAUGCCGGUGGAUACUGUCGGGCUCGAGUCCGGAAGAGGCGAGUGGAAUUCCUGGUGUAGCGGUGAAAUGCGCAGAUAUCAGGAGGAACACCAAUGGCGAAGGCGGCAUUCUGGACCGACAUUGACGCUGAGGAGCGAAAGCCAGGGGAGCAAACGGG
rnacentral:rRNA from 1 species